ensembl:lncRNA
UAAAUGUGACUAAAACUAAGGAUUAAAAUGACUAAAUGUGACUAAAACUAAGGAUUAAAAUGACUAAAUGUGACUAAAACUAAGGAUUAAAAUGACUAAAUGUGACUAAAACUAAGGAUUAAAAUGACUAAAUGUGACUAAAACUAAUGUGCAUUUUCGUCUAAAGACUAAAUCAAAAAUAGAAUUAUCACUGGGCUCAGGAGACGGUGCCAUUCCUUCACAAUGAAGCAAAGAUUAGAGAAAAGUCCCCAAUAAAAUCCUACUGACUUCAUCAAGGGGAGCAAACGUAUGAAGAAAUGCGUGUCCUUUCUUCACUAGACGGCCGAGCAACACACCAUCGCCUACAGCGAGUGAUGACUAAGUAUUAAUUAUGUAACGUUAGUUAGCUAGCUCUGAUUGACCAUUCGACUAACGUUAGCUACGAAGGCUCGCGAGCUAGCUAACGUUAGGCAGUCCGUGCUCAUAAGUUACUGCUCAUAAGUUACUGCCAUCUCGGGUAAAAUACUAUUAGUUGAUGCUGCAGUCGACUUUCAAGGUCUAAUGUAAUCAGUAAUCAGAAAGCCAACUGUGGAAGCUGUGAAUCGAGUGCAGAAUGGUCAAACUGUUGCUUCACACAUUGCGUAACACAAGAAACUACAAAGAAAUAAAAAUAAAAUUGAAUCAAGUCUGAUUUAUAUUUUGUUUAUUUUGAUUAAAAAAAUCUAAGAACACUUAAUCUGUAGACUACUGCCUAAUAGUUGUAUUGCUGCCAUCUGAUGACACAUGCAUUCACCAAGCUCAAUUAAGUAUAUUUGUUGUUUUUAACAGAGGUUAAAUGUUAUUUCACGAGUUUAAAAAAAUGCCCCCAAUUUCUUUUUAAAUGACCCUGGGGGCAAAAAUACUUCAAUAUUGCCGCAGCAAGAAUUCAUCUCGUGUGAGUCGACUUCCCUGAAGCUACAAAGUCCCUUUCGCUGCCUUUCAGGAACCUCGAUCUCCUUAUUGUUUUCUACCAGUGGAUCUCUGUCAGCUGGUCUUUCUCCCUAUGCUCCGCCCCCUUUCCUACCCGUUGCCUGGGUUACCUCCUAUCAAUUUACCUACCUACCUUCUCUUCUUUAUAUUCUAUGAGAAUAAUCCCUGUUUGACUUCACAGUAGUUGUGAUAACAAGAACAUCUCGGCUGAGGAUCCGCUGGUUUGCACAGAGUGGCUCAUAGUGCUGUCUCAUGCUUACUGGAACCAACCUAGAACACUGGGAUCCUACAGGUAUUUAUACUGGUGAGCAAAGACGUGAAGGCAGUGUCCACGCCCCUGGACAUUUAUUUCAAAUCAAAUCCAAUGUCUUGGUGGUUUUGCAUGCAUGCAUUUUGGUUUGUUACAUUACAUUGAAUACAAUCAUAGCUGUGCAUUGGUAUUAUUCUAUUAAUUACAGUGGUGUUUCACUAAUUCUUUAUUAAUUACAUAGUUUCAGAAUCAUAGCUCACCGGUGUACACUACAUGCAUUAUUAAUUGGUCUAAUAAACCGGGUCGUCAGUUGUUUAUAAUAUUCCACAUUUGCAAUAUUAUGCAGACACCGUAGGAUCAUAAGCUAUUGUUAACUCACUAUAGAAUCAUUUUUGCAGUGAAAACACAAUUAAUGUACCCCCCCCCCCCUUGUUGCAAGACUUGAGGUCGUGAUAAACAAUGUUAGCGGAGAUCAAUUUGAAUUAUUUGAAACUUAUUAUUCAAUUAAAUCAUGUAGCUCCAUAAGCUUAAUUAGCUAACAUUAGCUAGUGUUUUUACAGCUUCUGCAUGCUAAUUUGAAGUAACAUCUUGGAACUAGGUUACAAUUAUUGAAAAUAGCUGUGGGUCUUUCGCCUCACGCUGAGGUAGCAUCUUAUUUCUGUUUGCAGUUGUUUGAGUGGGGCAAUUGCUGAGAAUGAACAAAGGUUGCAGUUCUGAUGCAAAAUCUGCAUACAAUAUGGGGUACAGAUGUAACUGCAUGGUGUAUAUGGUAUUUUAAGUUUUAUAUGCUCAAAUGAAAAAACAAACUGAUUUGAGGUGUUGAAUGCACAAGAUUUGAGCAGCAACAUGACCUCAUGAAGUUCUGCAUUUGAGCUGCAGGGAAGAAUCCAAAUAAAUCUACCAGAACGAGAGGAGUUGUUCGGCUGAAUUCUAGCAGUUAUUACCGACCGGGCUUCCAAUUUUGAUCAAUUUUUAGUUAUCUGCCCAUGGGUCAGGGUAAUACUAGCGGACGGCUAAUUCACCGGCUUUAGCAUCUUUUAACCGACUCUGAUUAAGAAAAUUUCAACUUUCGUAAUUAAAACUUGGCUCAAAAAGUAAGGAGCUGAAGAGAUUACAAUAUUUUUUCUCAAUAUUUUUUAUGGAUAGUUAGCUAAAAACUGCUCGGGUCAGGCCACCUUUCAGCGAAGCGCCGUCACUACGAGACACCAUUGUUUGCUGACCCACCCGCCACUUCGCUGCCUAAAUUGCGUAACUGUAACACUGGCAGCCUUGUAGGGAGAAGAGGGAGCUGCGCUCAUUGGUUGAAAAUGACGGCAACCCACGAUAAUUCCAUUUGGAAAAAACGCAUUUGCAAAUCAAGCCACCAACAGGCCAGUCUCAAAAAACCCACACAGCCAUCCACAAACAAAUGCAUACAAAUACAAAAAUUCUGUGCAUUUUGGAUGAAUUUGUGAGACUUUCAUUGCAAUUAUUAGGCUGACUGCUGGCUGUGCAAGAGCUAAGCGCCUGCUGUUGAAGUCAAUCAAUGCGCUUUUGCAGUCAGGUACAUUUGUGUGUUAUUUAGAGGGAAAAUGCUUGCAUUUUAGCAUUAGAGUCAGUUUUACAAAAGUUGCUAAAAGUGCUAAAAAAAUUGGCCAGGAUAGUCAGAAAAGUUGCUAAGUUGGAAACACUGAGCCGUUGACACAUGAAGGGCUCCAUAUAAUAAUAAAAGCUCAUAGUUUUUUUUUUUUUAAUCAAAAUCUAUAUUCAUAUAUUUUUCAUUGCAGAAAUAGUUAA